AUGACGGCUCUUCAAGAACAGCUUAUGCUCUUUGCUCCCUUGACAUAUAAAAGUCCUGACGAAGAUAUUUCUCCCAAGCCCACAGUUUUUCUUCCUUCAGUUGCUGAAGUAGAAGUCCAUAAGGCUGGAACAUAUCUUUGUCUUCUUGAGGAUUUUUUCCCUGAUGUUAUCAAGGUAGAUUGGCAAGAAAAGGAUGACAAAACAAUUCUGAAAUCUCAGCAGGGAGACACCAUGAAGAAUAAGGACACAUACAUGAAAUUCUGCUGGCUGACCGUGACUGGAGCAUCAAUGGAUAAAGAGCACAAAUGUAUCGUCAACCACGAAAGUAAUGGAAGAAAAGUUGUUCAAGAGAUUCUUUUUCCUUCAGUAAACAAAGGUUUGAUGGCUGUGACAGAAUCUGAAAUGGACUCCCAGGGACAUUCAGAAACAAAGCAAAACACAGAGGUGGUAACUGUGAGUCCUCUGAAUUCAAGAUCUUUCUCACCUGAUCCAAUGGCUGUGGGUGAGUUCUCAGCUCUAUGCUCCACUCUUUUUGUGUUCAAACUCCUAUUGUAA